AGUGUCUUCUGGGCUUUGUUGCUUGCCCCUGCAUGGAUCUUUGGAGCAGCCAGCGGGACACCUUUCUCCACCGCACGUGUGUCAGUGUCUGUCUGUACCUGACCCAGAGGGCAGCGCCUCCAAGCAUACGAAUCCAGGGACAACUGCACUUUCAUUAUGAACAGCUGGAUCAUCAAGAGUCAACAGAACAAUCUGCAGUCCUUUAGGGAAGAUGACAAUGGCUGUGUCAGUGCUAUUUACUGCAUAAGAAUUAUGAAGCUUAAGUGGGGCUUUGUCAAUUCCGAUUGGAAUGUCGUGGUCUUCUCCUUCGCCAACUAUGAACCCCACAUCUCUGCAAUCAAACAUCCUUCCACCACAGCGGCCUUCCAGGUGGACUGAGGGAGAGGAGAAGGACAGUCAACAGAGCUGCUCUUCGUGACUAAUUCAGGAACCUGAUAAAUGAGUAGUUCCCCUUCCUCAUUUCAUCUAGAGACAUACGUGGUAUGUCUUGUUGAAGCUUAGUCUACCCAGUCUGGAAAUUUAAGAGCAAUCAUAUUUCUUUCUGUUUUAAGUUUAAACUUAUAAUUACUGAUAACUACAUCAGUAAGAUAGCUUAGAGGAUAAUGAAGUGGAAACACAGGUUUAACUUAAACCUACUAUAUGACAGAGGUUUCCUCACCUAUAACACAAAACAAGAAAUACUAGAUUAUUUAAUAGGUAAUUAUCAAAAUGCCACAAACUUAAUAUCAAGUAUACAAAGGCUUAAACAUUUAUAACUGCAUCUUGGCUUCGGAUGCUUGGGUUGAAAAACAACCGAAUGGCUAUUUCCCCAGUGAUAUUAAAGGGUUAACUGAAUAUAGAAGCUCUUUUUUUUUUUCUUUAAGAGUUUUAAUCUCAUUCACAAAUAUGUCUGAAUAAAAAUGAAAAGGCCAAAGGCAACAUCAUCAAUAACUAACAUAUCUGUAAUCCCUUAGUGCAGUAAAAAAUGUAAAAUGUGAAGGAAUCAAUAGUCUCCUAUAACUCGACAAAUCAAAUUACUCAACCCCCUCCUCUGAAAUGUUAAGUGAAGAGGUCAAUUUCUCAGGGCCUACUUCCUCAUUGCACUCAAACUCAGCUCAUUCCCAGGGUAAUUUCACAUUAGAUAAGGGGCUUUUAUGUUCAUAUAAAAUAGGAAAACACAUACAGAUAUAUAUUUUUCUCUUGGUUAGUUAGACUUUUUCUUCUGGGAUAAACAAUUCUUUGAAACUUUCCAACUAUGUUUAAUAUUACGGAUAUUCAUUCCUUUCCAUUUAGGUCUUUCAUUCAAUCAGAAAAAUGGAUGGCUUGUAUGACAGCACAACAGUCGACAAGCAAUGUAAUAAUUUGCCUUUCAUAAGAAAAUUUUUUAUUCCUACUUCUGUAAUAUAAUGGCCUUGAUUCAAAUGUAAGGAAUUCCUAAAAUGCUUCUUUUCUGAGACUGGUUGAUCUAUUUUAGAUCAAUAACUUGCUUUAGAGAUAAAAAUCACUUGUUCUGUUACAUUCGUUCCAGGAGACAAUUAUUUUCCAAAUACAAAUUCAAUUCCAACUUACUCUACUUUUGAACUACUUGAUCUCAAAGGUCCUUUGAAGCUCUAAAAUUCUACGAUUCUAUGGCCCAGUAAUAUAACUCUCAAUGUAGACCAGAAACCAGCUUCAAAGCUAAUUCCUGUAGUUAAUCAUUUCAUCAGGUUACCUUUAGCCCAGGCCUAGGAAAUGAGAGAAACCCUGAAGAGUAAACAGCAGUGGCAUAGACACUAGGGGCAGAAAAGUCACAUGGACAUUUAUGCUUUGAAGUUCUCUACCGUUUUCUAAGUCACUAGGAUUAAUACCAUCCCGAUUUGUUCCCGUUGCAGACAUAGGGUGGAGUCGAAGACGCUUGGGCCAAACUAGAGAAGGCCUGACUCUCGAGUCAGACCUUCUAAACAGGGGCAAGAGCUAGACUGGCUCUCAGGGUGGAGCUGGCAUACAGAAAUUUUGUUCUAUGUCCCAUACUCAUAAAUGCACAUGACUUUCUAUUAACUCACUUUUGGAAUGUUCUAGAUAAAAUACAGCUUAGCUUGCAGCACAGUGAAAGUUCUUUUGAAUUGGAAAUAGUUUCAAAAUAAAUUCAACUUUAUUAUUUUCAAAUACAUACACACUAGAGAGGUUCUGCAAGGAAUCCUAGGCUUAAAGAUAUUUUUUACUGGAGUAAAAGCUGGUGUCUCUAAAGAAUUUGAGAGUUUGAAAAUUUGUGUUCUUAAAUAUUUUUAAAUCUGCCCAAGAAAUUUAAUUUAGACUAAUGUGAUGACACUUUUCAUGAGAAAAGAUUUGCUGAGCAAAGUGAGUUUCGGCCCACGUAUUAUAGAAUAUCUCAAGCAUUGAGAUUUAUUAUCCUAGUAGCUCACAACUUAGUUGACAGAUCUUUUUGAGUGAGGUUUAUUGUUAGAAGUGUUUUCCUCCCUGAUGGAGAGUACAUUUAGUGGGGGAGGAAACUAUCAGUACAUUCGUUGUGGUUUUUGGUUGAUCAAGUUUGAAUGUGUUUUCAAAACAGGAAAUCCAGAGACUCUGUGAAGGAUUCCUGCCUGUGUGUCAGUUUCCUAGGCUGGUUUUUCAGCUUGAUGCAUAUACUUGAUAUUAAAAUUAUAUAAAUAAUUUCAGAAGUUCUCUUUACAUGUGAUAACCCUUCAUAUUAGGGAAAGAAAAGACUGGCUACUAAUAAACAUGUUGGGAAAGAUAAGUCAAGCAAGCAAGCAAAAAAAAAAGUUCAAGUCAAAGUAUGAUUAAGAAAGCAAAAAAAAAAUGUUCACUGCAGCCGGUCUCUCUAAGAGAAACAAUAUAUGGUAGAACCAAUGUUUUUGGCCACCUAAUAGGGAAACAUUUGCAAUAACUCUUAUAAAUACUUACUACCUUAUAUAGGGACCAAUCUUUUUUUUCUAUUAAAUCUCUUUGAAGUUGAACCUGAAUAAGCACUACCUACAGUACCACAGAAUCUUAAAUUGAUAAACUGAUACGCAUGCGUGCGUGCACACAUGCAGCAGUCUUUACGUGUAUAUAUAAAACCUUUUAAUACUGACAUUAUCUGGAAUGUCAGAGCAAGAGGAGGUAUCACAGCCUCAGGGAGUAUAGUCCAUUGAUUCUUUACAUCUACAAGUAGCAAACACUCUCGCUAGAUUAACUGGUUUCUAAAAUUGGAACACUGGUGUGACAAGUUCUAUGACAGCUGACAAGAACUCCUCCCCACCUUGGAGCCGAUUGCCGCAGCAGGAACCUCCAUCAUGGUGACAGAUGCAGACAUGCCUGGCUCCUAUAGAUCCAAUUUUUUUUUAAAUUGUCUCGAUAAUUGCUACCAAAGAAAACCAUGGCAGCUCUGGCUGUGGAAGACCUGUGGUUGCUUUUGACCUUGUAUCGCUUAGUGCAAAAACUCAUUUAAUAAAUAUUUAAUAAUAACCAUCAUGACUCACUGGGAGCUUGGCCUCUAGGGCUCAGGAGGUCUGUUGCUAAUUCCAACCAGCAUGAUUUACGGGAAGUAAAUGAUCUAUGACGUGCCCAAAGAGAAUAAAAGUACAUACAGGAUGCUUCUACUUAGGGUUUUUUUGGGAAGAGAAAGAAAUACACAAGUUAAAAAGGGACAACGUUUUCUCUUGACUUAAAGUCUACGUAACUUAAAGGGGGGAGGUCCUCCAAACCCCACGAAGUCAAACCGAUCCAAAUUACCGAGCCUUGCUGCGCAAUCCCAGUGUAACCACAUCAAGUGAGCCCAGUCUGCUGCAAAACAUCACUUAAACUGGAGCUCUGACUUAUUGUUC